UCUGUCGCCCACGCCGGAAGCCGCCUACACCGCCGGCCACAGGUAGAAGUUGAAUUUGCGGAUGGCGGCUCCUUCCAUCUGUCUGCUGAGUUUCUUAGAGUAUAUAGCCCAGCAGCUGAUAGCAAAAUCAGAUCAAUAGGUGCUGAGAAGGGUGCCAGGGUGGUAUACUGGUAUGGGAGGAUCUUUGUCCAAGCAUUUUCAGAGUGGAUCUGCAAAAUGUUUUGAUGUGUUGAGAUGAAAUCUUGAGAUAAAUUAAAUUUUGUUUGACAUAGAUUGUUUCAGGUUUUCUACCCGCCCAAGAAUGCUUGCCAACUGUCGCUCUCUCUUCCAUCUCUGUCUCUAUGACACUGAGACAGAUACUAAGUUUGUCCUCCACUGUCAGUCAACCCUGAGCUUUGCUCUUAGAUAUAUUUUAACUCAGUAUCUUUAGUGUAGUUUGCCAUAUCCAUGGACAUGAGCCAUGAUGUUAGUAGGCUGCAAUAUAUGCAUUAGGAAGUAUGUUGCCAUGUGAACUUUUGGUUUGUAAAUGUCCUAUAAAUUCAUAUGUUAUGAAUUAUCGUAAAGAUGUUUGGAAUGGUGCAAUGAAAUGACUAACA